GGCCUCGUAGUUCAGCUAGUAGAGCCAGCGGGGUACUAAAUCGUAUAUGGCAAUCAUGUGUGGGUUCGAAUCCCAUCAAGGUCA
rnacentral:tRNA from 1 species